CUCGUGAACUGUUUAUUUAAUUUAUCUUCAAACUUGUACAAAAACAUCUGAUUGGAUCCUUUUCUGAAAUAUGAAACCAUGAUUGAAGCCAAACUACAAGAAGUGAAAUGUUUGAGGGUGGUUCAAUAAGUUUCCAGCUUUAAAACACUUUGAUUCUCAGGAAGUUGGACUGAAAUGUUCCCCUGAGGAAAGUUCAUCCAAUCAAAGCUUCAACAAACCACAGAUUAACUCAGCUCUGUUGGUGAGAGAUGAUAAAACCUGGUAGAAACGUGGAUGGUGUUCAGUACAAAUCAGUCAAACGUCCACAGAAAAAACCAAAUGAGACACUUAAAGCUCAGAUUUCUGCCCUCAAACAGCUGCAGACGUGUUUGGAUUCAAUAAAUUUAAUUUAUCUGGACGUCUGCAGCCCAAAACUUCUGGUCUACGUUUAAACUCCAAACAUGCUGAAGAAACGUCUGAACAAACUAAACCUGAGAUGUUUAGGGACCAAAUAAUUCUCUAAUGGAACCUCUGGUUUCUGUCCAAAUCAACCUGAAGACCAAAAGAUCAAAGAUUGAGGCUAAAAAAAUCAAAAAUCAUUUAAAUUUAGCUGCAUCUGAUUAGAAAUAGCCUCGUCAUGCAGCGAUACUCGGCUCCCAGUGUUCCUGCAGCACAUCUUGAACAAGUUCAUCUCAUUUCUGGAAAAUUUUAGAGUCAUUUUGGACAGUUUUGAGUUGUUUUGAACAAGUUUUUGUUAAAAAUACGAAGUAAUUUUGGACAAAUUUGGAGUUAUGUUGAUUAAUUUUUGUUUAUUUUAGACAAACAUUGAAUCAUCAAAUUAUUGUCCUUUUGGUAAAUUUACUGUCUUUCUUCAAAAUGUUGUGUUUCUGUAAUUUCUUCUGCAGGGCUGGACUGUCAGUGAACACUUCUACUGUCUGUAGAGUUAUCUGACAGUUUUAAGUGAGUUUCGACAAUUUAGAAUUUUUGUUAAAAAUGUUGAGUGAUUUUUGGACAAUUUUUUUGCAGUUUUGGACACAUUUUAGUCUGUCAUGUUGGGAAUUAUUAUUGUUAUUAUUUUACAUUAUUUAUUAUUUUAUGUACAUCAUAAAUUCCUCCCAGAGUUGGACUGCCGAGACAGACUUCUGCUGAAGGGUUCGUUUUUUGGAUAAAUUCUGGCAAAUUUUGGACAAAUUCUUGGUUAUUUUGGUCAAAUUUGAAUCAGUUUGAACAGGGUUUUGUUGUUUUUGUGAAAAAUGUAAACUUAAAAAAAACUGGCUAAUUUUCGAAUAAUUUGGAACAAUUUUGGACAAACAUUUGGAAUUUUUGACAAAUUUUUGUUGUCAUUUUUUCCAACAAUUAUGUGAUCUGGCAUCAUGAAAUCUGAGGAUUUGAACUGGAGUUCUACUGUAACGUCCCGAGGCUUUUAAGAGAAAACAGUCGACACAGUUGACCUGAACUGUGGAUUUUGAAGCUUUAUUCAUCCACAAUUACACAUUUGUCAUUCUCCACCUGUGCUGCUGGCCAGAUUUGUCUCAUCGCAGCUUCUUUCUCUUUCCCAAAAGUGAUUCAGAUAAUAGCAGACAGUGUUUAACGUGAACAGAGCAGGACUUCAUAGGGAAGUGUUGCAGGAGCACUGGGAGCCGAGCAUCGCUGCACAACGUCACUACUUUAACAGAGAUGACGGAUAAAUUUAAAUCUAGUUUUUGAUGUUAGAAAUCAUCAUCCCAGAGAUCAACAUUCAUUUUAGUUUCUCUUCUUUCGUGCAGACUUGUUUAGUUGUAGAGGCACGUGAUGUCAUAAUCAGGAAUCAAGCGUAGGUGUCUACAUGUCGACCGUGACAAUAGUUUCAAAAAGCUCCAUUUUCAGGAACAUACAACCACAUUUCUAUGUUGACGAAAGGUCAAAAUGUCAAUAAAAUUUUGUCUCUUCAAGCUGAAAUAAUCAGAAACCAGCAGGUAUCCAUAAAAAACUCUAAAUCUAAAGCACCGUUGUGGUUCAGAAAGCGUUAGCAUGAAUUUAGCGUGAGCAUCAUUUCUUUAAAGUUUGGACAAACAUGUUAGUUUUUUUUUUUUUUUUAACUAAAGAUCCCAUUAAAUGAUAAAUACAGUCACUUUAAUGGUGUAAUAAGGCAGGCAGGGGUUCAGAUUAAACACUAAAUACUUUAAAUGUCCAAAAUAAAUGGCAGUUAAAGUCCUACAGGAGCGUAAAGUUAGCACAUUAGCUACAUUAGCACAGUUAGCAGUUUAAGGCAACAAAGGCAGGAUUUAAAUCUUCUACUCUGCUUUAAAAAACUUUUUACAUGACAAUGUGACUUCUGGCAGAUUUUUCAGCCCCCCAAAAUGAGCUUUUAGCAAUUUAUCAGUAAAAAACUGUAAAUCCUUUCAAAUAUUUAGCCUCACAACCUAAUAAACCUUCACUUCCUGGAGAAACAAGCAGAAGGGAAGAAAGUUUGACGACUUAAAUGUUUUCAUAAACAACCAAAUCAGACAUUUUCUCUUUAGUUAAUAGAUUCUGCUGCAGUUUAGUGAUGUUUAAGGCAUGCAUGAAGAUAAGUCUGAGUAAAUACAGAUUCAGAAACAUCUAACGUCCAGUUAUUUUUAUACUGCACUGAUUUAAGAGUCAGAAACUGGAACUAAAACGUACUAAAGGAGGAGUUUAUUCAUGUAUAUCCGACAUAAUAUGAUCAAAUAUCAAUCUGGUUUUAGUGCAGUUCAGAUUUUUAGCUUUGUUUUCCGCUUUAUUUAGCUUUUAGUCUGUAAAAAUAUCAUUAAACUGAUAAUUAAAUCAGCAUGUUUUAGCUAAUAAACCUCCAGUUUUCAUGUAUUACCGGUAGUUGUUUUUAGGUGCUCGUACUUUAAUAACUGUCUGGUUUAUUCCAGCUGUUGAUAGAUUUACAACUUGUUCUUUUCAUUUUUCUUGUCUUUAUGCUCAAACUGUACAGAUUUGGACCCAGCAGCUGGUUUUAAAAACUGCCAAAAUGUUGUUUUUUUAUGGCGAGAAUUACUGUGAAAUGCAAAAAUCUGCUUGUCUGAGACGUUGUUUGUAUUUCUAGUAUAUAAACUGUGGAAGGUAGUGAGUCGUUCUUGGUCUUUUUUCUUUUAAAAAAAAUGCUAACAUGAUUAGAAUAUUGCAGCUUGAAGUCAGAUAAUCUUCCCUAGAAAGCACCAGAGAAUGAAUCUGUACAAAAACAAAACAUAAAGGUGUAAAUAUAAGAUUAUUACACUUAAUUAGAGGUUGCAGUGUAUUGAGUUUAGGAGUUUAUUAAACCAGGUGUGAGGAAAAAAAACACAAAAAAAACAAACAAACAUUUUUUUCAGGAAUAUGAAGUGACAAACGGUAGAAAAAACUCAGUUGUCUGAAUUUACUUGAAAAAUACUCCUUUCUUCUUUAAAAAUGCCUUUUAAAGUGUUUUUUUGCCAUUAGAAUUGAAAAAAGCAGCCGUUUAAACAGGUUUAAUUUUUAAAUGUGAGCUUAUUUUGUUGUUGGUGACAUCAGUAGAGAUGGAAAUUAAAUCUAGAAACUUUAUAAUCCUGCAGAUUUCUUUAAAAAAAACCAACAUGAUGAGAUUUUUUCAGCUUUAUCAAACAGAAACUAAAGUUUUUUGUCUUGAUGCUGCUACAGGAACAUGAAAAGUGACAUAAACAAUACAGAAAACCUGGAAAAAUGUCAGAAUUUACUUGAAAAAUGCUCCUUCCUUCUUAAAAAAAAAAAAAAAAAAAGCCUUUUUUGGUGAUUUUUUAAAAUCAAGACAAAGAAACUUGUGUUGCACCGAAACAAUCCUGUACCCUGAGUUUAUUUUUUGAGUUUAUUUUUUAAAUGUGAGCUUAUUUUGUUGUUGGCGACAUGGACUGAGAUGGAAAUUAAAUCUAGAAACUUUAUAAUCCUGCACAUUUCUUUCAAAAAAAAAAACAACAAAAUGUGAUUUUUUUUCAGCUUUAUCUAAUAAAAAAAUAAAGCUUUUUGUCUUGAUGCUGCUACAGAAAUAUGAAAAGUGACAUAAACAGUAGAAAAAACUCCUAUAAUUGUCUGAAUUUACUUGAAAAAUACUCCUUUCUUCAUAAAACACCCUUUUAGGUGAUUUUUUGUCAUCAGAAUUGAAAAAGCAGGCGUUUAAACAGGAGUUGUACUAAAACAAUCCUGUUUCCUGAGUUUAUUUUUUAAAUGUGAGCUUAUUUUGUUGUUGGCGACGUGGACAGAGAUGGAAAUUAAAUCUAGAAACUUUAUAAUCCUGCAGAUUUCUGUCAGAUUCUGCCGUUUGAGUCGGACUUUAGCAGUUUCCAACCUCGGUCCUGACUCUAGACGGUUUCUGGAUGGUUUCAGGUCGGCGGUGGUCCGUUGACGUAUCUCAGCAUCAGGUGGAAGCUGCGCUGCAUCCCGUUGCUACGGUGACAUGGAGGAUCCAGGAAGCUCCAGAUCAGACCGGCCAGCAGGACCAGGAGGACGGAGAGGAGGGCCGGAGGGAACCGGGAGGACCGGGGCCUCCUGGAGGAAACAGGAAGUGGAGGAGGAGUCGGUGCCCACAAGGUCGGCCGUUCAUUCUGAGUUUGGGAGUGUGACCGAGUGAAUUCCUGCAGAUUCAGACCAUUUGAGCUCAUUUUUUCCACCUCCUCCUGCCUGACUUUUGCAGAAACAACUCCAGAGAGUUUUAGUCUGCCUGGCUGGGAAUCACUGCUCUGAGGACAUAAUUGUCGGCGUCACUGACAGUAAAGCGAAGAUCAGGAAGCCAUGAAUAUUUCAUGUUAAUGCCACCUGCUGCUCGCUGCAUAGAUUUGCAUCGGGAUAAAGUCAGAGCUGCAGGAGACGAAUCUCCUCCUAAAAUCUGCAGUCGGUUUAAGAAGAGGAAUUUGUAAGAAGUCCUGCAGCAGAUGAUCCCUCUGCAGUUUAAUCAUCAAUGAGCCGUCGUUAUUCACAACCACACAUUUAAUCAAACCUGCAGCGACAGAAAAACACCUUUAAAUAAAU
ensembl:lncRNA